GGACUACUAGGGUAUCUAAUCCUGUUUGCUCCCCUAGCUUUCGCGCCUCAGCGUCUGGCUAAGCCCAGAAAACCGUCUUCACCACCGGUAUUCUUCCACAUAUCUACGCAUUUCACCGCUACACGUGGAAUUCUGUUUUCCCUGACUCGCCUCUAGCUCUUCAGUUUCAAAUGCAGCUCCGGGGUUGAGCCCCGGAAUUUCACAUCCGACUUAAAAAGCCGCCUACGCGCCCUUUACGCCCAGUCAUUCCGAUCAAUGCUUGCACCCUCCGUAUUACCGCGGCUGCUGGCAC
rnacentral:rRNA from 1 species